rnacentral:misc_RNA from 1 species
GCAGAACCUGAGACACCUGCUCCUGCUGCUCCUGCAAAAGGAAAGGGCAAAACAGCUCAACAAGAACAAAGACGCAAACAGAAAGAGGAAACUGGUAAACCCUCUGGCAAAAAGACUAAAACUGGCAAAAAGUCUGCAGCUGAGUCUGGUACUACUGAGUUAGCAGCUGGGCCUAUUGUUCCUUUGACACCCGGAACUGAAUUGGCUGCUGCAAUUCUUCAAACUUUGAGUGACAAACCUGUCAAGCCCAAAAAGCUGAAAAUGGGUGCUCCAAAACCAAUCAGGAGAAGUUCCAGGCUGAAAGGAUAAACUGAACUUUGAUUGAAUUUUGUCUAACAGUC